CAAGCUUCCUGCCUUAUUCUGUGGCUGGGCUUUCUAAUCUUUUGGGGGUCCUUUUGAGACUCCGUGAAAGUUUCCUCAUUAUGAUGCUGCUCCCCAAACAGCUCUGGAAUUCACCCACUUCUGAGGGAUUGGGAGCCAGAAUUCUUCAUCAGUGUCUUAUCCUCAAGAUCUUCCCUCUCCCAACCCAAUCUUGGAUGAUUUAACUUCUAUGGGGAUUUUUUUUUUUUAACUGCCACAAGGUAUAUAAUCUUCGAAAGUGAAUUUCCUCCUUGUUUCUUUUGAAAGAUAUUUUUAAACAUGGAGAGAACAAGUGAUGUAUAACAACUCUAUCAGAAGUUCAUUAUGUGGAAAAUAAGAAAAAAGUGUAAAGAAAAAAACACAAAACCUGUAAUCCCAAACCCUAAAGCAUGAAGGAGUGCCUGGAGCUGCCUGCAGGCUGUGUGGAAGAUGAAGCUGGCAUCCUGGAAGACAGAGCAGAGACACAGAGUGAGUCAGCAUAUACCCUUCAGGAGUACCUGGAAAAAGUCUGUGUCCAACAGCUUCUGAACAGAGACACCUAAAGGCCGUCAGCCUCCGGGGAGAUAUGAGUGACAGACCUAGUGUCCAGAUAUUCAGACAUGCCAAGAAGCAUCUUCCAACAUCAUCAACUAAUGAAGACUUUAGAAGAAGGCUAAGGCAUGCCUCUCAGCAAGCAAAUCCUGGCAGACAUAGUUAAAUUAACUGAUUUAGCAUAUCUUUAUCUAGCACAUUAAUAAUUGCACUAGAAUUAAGGAUAGUGGUUGUCAAUUCUGUCUGCACAAAUUACAGCUGGGGAACUUAAAAAUACAUAUGUCCAGCCUCCACCCUAGAACAGUCAAUCAACAUCUUUGGAUCAGGAUGGCUGAAAACUACUGGAGGACAGGAAAGUGGCAGGAAGAAGGGAACUUCGAAGAUUGAUAUAACUACAAACCCAUGAUCUCUGGCUUCAGCUGGGUAACUUGUCAAUUUUCUCUGGCACUUGGUUAGGUCCUUUUCCGAUACUCUCAAUGACUGUUACCUCUUUUUUUCACGCCCUACUCAACCAUCAUCUCUUCACUCUUAGAAUACAUCAUAUCUUACUUGAAGUUGUCAGGCGUAAUUUAAAAAUCUCUCUUCUAGGGACUUCCCUGGUGAUGCAGUGGGUCAGAAUCCGCCUGCCAAUGCAGGGGACACG